rnacentral:rRNA from 1 species
GACGAACCGUGCGAACGUUGUUCGGAUUUACUGGGCGUAAAGGGCGCGUAGGCGGUCGUGACAAGUCACUUGUGAAAUCUCCGGGCUUAACUCGGAACGGUCAAGUGAUACUGUCGGACUAGAGUACAGAAGGGGCAACUGGAAUUCUCGGUGUAGCGGUGAAAUGCGUAGAUAUCGAGAGGAACACCUGCGGCGAAGGCGGGUUGCUGGGCUGAUACUGACGCUGAGGCGCGAAAGCCAGGGGAGCGAACGGG